rnacentral:rRNA from 1 species
AUUGAACGCUGGCGGCAUGCCUUACACAUGCAAGUCGAACGGCAGCACGGGAGCAAUCCUGGUGGCGAGUGGCGAACGGGUGAGUAAUAUAUCGGAACGUGCCCAGUCGUGGGGGAUAACGUAGCGAAAGCUACGCUAAUACCGCAUACGAUCUAUGGAUGAAAGCGGGGGAUCGCAAGACCUCGCGCGAUUGGAGCGGCCGAUAUCAGAUUAGGUUGUUGGUGGGGUAAAAGCCUACCAAGCCUGCGAUCUGUAGCUGGUCUGAGAGGACGACCAGCCACACUGGAACUGAGACACGGUCCAGACUCCUACGGGAGGCAGCAGUGGGGAAUUUUGGACAAUGGGCGCAAGCCUGAUCCAGCAAUGCCGCGUGCAGGAUGAAGGCCUCGG